GGCCAUGGUGCGAUACUCCUGCCAGGACCGGUGCCGCUUCCUCUACCUUCUCAUCCCUCUCCUGGAGCACGGUGACAAGAAGCACAAGAUCACUGCCACCGCCUUCUUCGUGGAGUUCUCCCCAGACCCUCCGAGGGCCGCCAGGCAAACAGCAACCUCUGCUGCCCCUCUGUGUGCCAGGCACCACAGGUGCACAUUUGAAUUUGACUCUACCCUGGCCAGAAGGAAUUCUCCGUGUGUCCGCAGAAGACCAAGUGCCCCCCAGUUAUAA
rnacentral:lncRNA from 1 species